rnacentral:tRNA from 1 species
UAGGUUAGACCAGUGGUUAGAGCUUAGGUCUUGCGAUUGGAAGGUCCCGGGUUCGAAUCUCGCGACAGGUAG